rfam:Heterocephalus glaber contig237888, whole genome shotgun sequence.
GGAUGUGGGGGCGAUCUGGCUGUGACAUCUGUCACUCCAUUGAUCACCAGGGUUGAUUUGGCUGAUCUGGCUGGCUAGGCAGUGUUCCCUUCCUCCCUCACUGCUCCAUGUGCAUCCCUCCCAAAGCUGUAUGCUCAAUCAAAGAGGACAACCCCCCUAGAUAGAGGAGGACCACUUCCUCGGUCACGGGUAUACAAGUAGUUGCACUCCCCUAGUAGAACCUCCAAACAUGCUCUCAAAGAUAAAAUGAGGUAUCUUGGAGGUAAGCAUCAAAAAAUCUUAGCAACAAUAUUACCUUAGGGAGUGUUU